rnacentral:tRNA from 1 species
AGCUCCAUAGUUCAAUGGAUAGAAUAGAAGUUUCCUAAACUUUAGAUUCAGGUUCGACCCCUGAUGGAGCUA